CUAUUCAUAACUAAUUAUGAAUUUAACAUGAAUAAGCUUGAAUGUACAAUUAUUGAGUUGCUUAAUAUGCUUAAGACUGUUAAGCCCAACAUCAAAGUUAGUAGUGGGCAAACCAUUGAUUCCUUUAAAGAUAUUAAGAGGAAGUCUAAAGAGGCUUUAUGAAAGCACCCAAUAUGGUUAAGACAGUAUAAGCGAAAGGACAAAUACCAAAUCUAAUGACCCUUG
rnacentral:lncRNA from 1 species